rnacentral:rRNA from 1 species
GUAGGACGCAAGCGUUAUCCGGAUUUACUGGGGUUUAAAGCGUGCGUAGGUUGCAAAGUUAGUCUAUGAUUAAAGAUCGAGGCUUAACCUCGGGAAUGUCAUAGAUACUGCUUUGCUAGAGGUCAGACGGGGAAAGCGGAAUUCCCGGUGUAGGAGUAAUAUCCGUUGAUAUCGGGAGGAACACCAGUGGCGAAGGCGGCUUUCUAGACUGAUUCUGACACUGAGGCACGAAAGCUAGGGGAGCAAAAGGGAUUAGAUACCCCUGUAGUCCUAGCCGUAAACGAUGGAUGCUAGACGUUAGAGGUAUCGACCCCUCUAGUAUCGCAGGGAAACCGUUAAGCAUCCCACCUAGGGAGUACGGCCGCAAAGGCUAA